rnacentral:rRNA from 1 species
UACGUAGGUGGCAAGCGUUGUCCGGAAUUACUGGGUGUAAAGCGCGUGUAGGCGGCAGGCCAAGUCUGCGGUGAAAGCGCCCGGCUCAACUGGGCGAGGUCCGUGGAAACUGGUCAGCUGGAGGACGGUAGAGGCGAGUGGAAUUCCCGGUGUAGUGGUGAAAUGCGUAGAGAUCGGGAGGAACACCUGUGGCGAAGGCGGCUCGCUGGGCCGGUCCUGACGCUGAGACGCGAAGGCGUGGGGAGCGAACGGG